UGCUGUGAAACUGGGGGCUCAACCCCCAGCCUGCAGUGGGUACGGGCAGACUAGAGUGCGGUAGGGGAGAUUGGAAUUCCUGGUGUAGCGGUGGAAUGCGCAGAUAUCAGGAGGAACACCGAUGGCGAAGGCAGAUCUCUGGGCCGAACUGACGCUGAGGAGCGAAAGGGUGGGGAGCAAACAGGCUUAGAUACCCUGGUAGUCCACCCCGUAAACGUUGGGAACUAGUUGUGGGGCCGUGACGCAGCUAACGCAUUAAGUUCCCCGCCUGGGGAGUACGGCCGCAAGGCUAAAACUCAAAGGAAUUGACGGGGACCCGCACAAGCGGCGGAGCAUGCGGAUUAAUUCGAUGCAACGCGAAGAACCUUACCAAGGCUUGACAUACAGGUGGUGCAUGGUUGUCGUCAGCUCGUGUCGUGAGAUGUUGGGUUAAGUCCCGCAACGAGCGCAACCCUCGUUCUAUGUUGCAACUCAUGGGAUACUGCCGGGGUCAACUCGGAGGAAGGUGGGGAUGACGUCAAAUCAUCAUGCCCUUAUGUCUUGGGCUUCACGCAUGCUACAAUGGCCGGUACAAAGGGCUGCAAUACCGUAAGGUGGAGCGAAUCCCAAAAAGCCGGUCCCAGUUCGGAUUGAGGUCUGCAACUCGACCUCAUGAAGUCGGAGUCGCUAGUAAUCGCAGAUCAGCACGCUGCGGUGA
rnacentral:rRNA from 1 species